rnacentral:rRNA from 1 species
CCGGCCGCCAGCGGCGCUCGCCAAAGUUCGAUUCGCCAAGGACCGGCCAGCGGGACGUCCGCGUUGGCGAGGUGCACUUUCUCCGCGGUCGAGUGCUACGACCGGUUUCGAGGCGGUCAGAAGCCCGGCGGAAAGGUAGCGCCGCCCUUCGGGGUGUCGUGUUAUAGGCCGCCGCGGUGGACUCGCCGCGAGACCGAGGACGCUUGCCGCGCCGAGCGGUCCCGGGCCGUCUUGGGAGGUUCGACCUCGGCUGCACUGCUCCGCAGAGCACCGUAACCGCCGCCCUAGCACGGGUCCGGAGACUGCCGGCGCCUCGGGUCAGUAGCG